GAAUAAACUGCCAGUUGAUGCCAAAGGAAAGGUGUAUCAGAACAGACUGACGAAAGAAGUGAGUUCCUUCAAUGGAAUGAAGGUGUCUUCAGAUAAGGUGGGAACCUUCUUGAGAAGCAUGGGAAUUGAUCUUGAGGAGAAUGAAAUCCAGGAACUGAAGGACCACCUACCAACUGAU